GAAGAAGAACGUAGCGAAAUGCGAUACGUAAUGUGAAUUGCAGAAUUCAGUGAAUCAUCGAGUCUUUGAACGCACAUUGCGCCCCCUGGUAUUCCGGGGGGCAUGCCUGUCCGAGCGUCAUUGCUGCCCUCAAGCACGGCUUGUGUGUUGGGCCUCCGUCCUCCUCCCGGGGGACGGGCCCGAAAGGCAGCGGCGGCACCGCGUCCGGUCCUCGAGCGUAUGGGGCUUCGUCACCCGCUCUUGUAGGCCCGGCCGGCGCUUGCCGACACAUCAAUCUUUUUUCCAGGUUGACCUCGGAUCAGGUAGGGAUACCCGCUGAACUUAAGCAUAUCAAUAAGCGGAGGA
rnacentral:misc_RNA from 1 species